rnacentral:rRNA from 1 species
UACGUAGGUGGCAAGCGUUGUCCGGAUUUAUUGGGUUUAAAGGGUGCGUAGGCGGCCUUAUAAGUCAGUGCUGAAAUAUCACAGCUUAACUGUGAGGGUGGCAUUGAUACUGUAGGGCUUGAGUGAAGUCGAGGUAGGCGGAAUUGACGGUGUAGCGGUGAAAUGCUUAGAUAUCGUCAAGAACACCGAUAGUGAAGACAGCUUACUAGGCUUUAACUGACGCUGAGGCACGAAAGUGUGGGGAUCAAACAGGAUUAGAUACCCCCGUAGUCC